ACGGGUGAGUAACACGUGGGUGAUCUGCCCUGCACUUCGGGAUAAGCCUGGGAAACUGGGUCUAAUACCGGAUAUGACCUCCUAUCGCAUGGUGGGUGGUGGAAAGAUUUAUCGGUGCAGGAUGGGCCCGCGGCCUAUCAGCUUGUUGGUGGGGUAAUGGCCUACCAAGGCGACGACGGGUAGCCGACCUGAGAGGGUGACCGGCCACACUGGGACUGAGACACGGCCCAGACUCCUACGGGAGGAAGCAGUGGGGAAUAUUGCACAAUGGGCGAAAGCCUGAUGCAGCGACGCCGCGUGAGGGAUGACGGCCUUCGGGUUGUAAACCUCUUUCAGCAGGGACGAAGCGCAAGUGACGGUACCUGCAGAAGAAGCACCGGCUAACUACGUGCCAGCAGCCGCGGUAAUACGUAGGGUGCAAGCGUUGUCCGGAAUUACUGGGCGUAAAGAGUUCGUAGGCGGUUUGUCGCGUCGUUUGUGAAAACCAGCAGCUCAACUGCUGGCUUGCAGGCGAUACGGGCAGACUUGAGUACUGCAGGGGAGACUGGAAUUCCUGGUGUAGCGGUGAAAUGCGCAGA
rnacentral:rRNA from 1 species